UGUUUGCCAAACACCAUUAAACCUCAGAGGAAGAUUAGUUUCACCGCGCUUUCUGUUUUGUUGUGAUGCUGGUUUAAUACAAGCUGUUAGAAAUGUAGUUUAUUUAAAUAGAAAAGUACAGUUUCUGAAUCAGGUCAAUGAGAAUCUCUGUAAUAUUCUCAUCCUCACAAUCGUGACUAAGUGUUGAAGCAAGCAGGAAUAUCUGGAGGAGUAUCAUCUGAGAUCUGCUGCUGUGAAGAUGGUGUUUGUUAAAGAGGAGAGUGAGGAGAACAUGAUUGAACCAGAAACCUGGAGAAUAAAACACGAGGAACCAGAAACAUGGGGAGUAAAACACGAGGAACCAGAAACAUGGAGAAUAAAACACGAGGAACCAGAAACCUGGAGAAUAAAACACGAGGAACCAGAAACCUGGAGAAAAAAACACGAGGAACCAGAAACCUGGAGAAUAAAACACGAGGAACCAGAAACCUGGAGAAAAAAACACGAGGAACCAGAAACCUGGAGAAUAAAACACGAGGAACCAGAAACCUGUGGAAUAAAACACGAGGAACCAGAAACCUGUGGAAUAAAACACGAGGAACCAGAAACCUGUGGAAUAAAACACGAGGAACCAGAAACCUGGAGAAUAAAACACGAGGAACCAGAAACCUGUGGAAUAAAACACGAGGAACCAGAAACCUGUGGAAUAAAACACGAGGAACCAGAAACCUGUGGAAUAAAACACGAGGAACCAGAAACCUGUGGAAUAAAACACGAGGAACCAGAAACCUGUGGAAUAAAACACGAGGAACAUGGAGAGAUGAUUGAAGAAAACGAGGAGAAUGAAGAAUUGAGUGAAGUUGGGGAGAAAAAUCAAGUCAAAACUGAAGAAAAACCCUCGAGUUGCUCUCAAACCAAACAGAAAGGCUUAAAGAAAAGAAAAGUCAAGAAAUCUUUCACCUGCACUCAGUGUGGAAUGAGUUUGACAAGCAAAUAUAAUUUUGACGUUCACAUGAGAGUUCACACUGGAGAGAAACCAUUCACUUGUGAUCAGUGCGGGAAGAGUUUCACACAAUCAUCAAACCUUAAGGACCACAUGAACAUCCACACUGGAGAAAAACCAAACAAGUGUUUACACUGUGACAAGAGAUUCAGUCGUCCAAGAGACCUGAAAACACAUGAGAGGAUCCACACUGGAGAGAAACCGUACACAUGUGAUCAGUGCGGGAAGAGUUUCACACGAUCAUCACACUUCAAAGAGCACAUGAACAUCCACACUAGAGAGAAACUGUUUGGAUGUGAUCAGUGCGGGAAGAGUUUCACACUAAAAGGACACCUUACGGCACAUAUGAGAGUUCAUUCUGAAGAGAAACCGUUCACAUGUAAUCAAUGUGGGAAGAGUUUCACACAAUCAUCACAUCUUAACAGACACAUGAUGAUCCACACUAGAGAGAAACUGUACACAUGUGAUCAAUGCGGCAAAAUGUUUUUGAGGGCUUCAGUCCUAAAGCAGCACAUGAAUGUUCAUACAAAGGAGAAGCCACAUUCAUGUGAUUUGUGUGGAAAGAGUUUUUUAUGUCUACAAAGUUUGAAAGAACAUCAGAAAAUGCAUACUUCUGUGAGAGAGUACAUGUGCUUUGAGUGUGAGAAGACUUUUACUUCAGCGAGCAGUUUAAAACUGCACGAGAGGAUCCACACUGGAGAGAAACCUUACAAGUGUUCACACUGUGACAAGAGAUUCAGUGAUUCAGCAAAUCGGAAAAGACACGAGAGGAUCCACACUGGAGAGAAACCAUAUGACUGCACUACAUGUGGGAAGUGUUUCAAUAAUUCAUCUGCUCUACGCAGACAUACAAAAAACUAUCACAAUAAGUAGAUCAUCUUCAGGUCCAGCACUUUCAGAGCUGAUGCUGGGUCCUCACGAAAUGUGACACAAUAAUGCAUCAAGCAAUAAAAUAUCAUCUGGAUAAAUCUGUUCUGACCAGUCAUUACAUGCGACAUGACAAAGAAACAUCAUCUAAAGUUUUCAGAGAGACUAAAGUUCAUCUUCAUCUUCAAAACCAGCAGAUUCAGCUGUGAGAUUCAGAUCAACUCAAAGAUGGAGUUUCUCAACAAACACCUGAACCUGGUAUUAAAUGAGCUCUGGGGCUAAAUUACGAAAGGCUAUCGAUAAGCUCUAAUGUUAACUGUUCUGCUUUUGGUGCUGGGUGAAUAUAGCAAAUACACUUACACUUUAUUAUUGCUACAAAAAUAUUAUUAAACCGACUGUUUCUAUAUGUGAUAAUAUCAAGACAUUCGUCACUGAUGCAUUUUCGUUAUUUUGCAAUCCAGAAGCGAGAUCUCUCUUGUACUUUAGGUCUGAUUAAUCUAAUUUUAUUUUUUAUUAAGUUUGACUUUCAAGGAUUAUGAAAACAAGAUGUUUGAGGUAAAGUGAUAUAUUACAGAAAAUCUGAUUCGUCUUGAGGACUUUAUGGCUGCUGUGUGCGACGCGUGUGUCCAUGUGACCGUUUACACCACUUACCUAUAACAGAACUGGAUUGCUGAUGAUGUUAUAGAAGUGAAGCCACUUUGCCGCCAUAUUGCUAUUCCGUAGUAUUCUCAUAUAUUCUAUUGAAUUUAGAGUAAAUCGUACGAUUUUUAUGAGAAAACCACCUAAUGAGUCAGCUUUUUUAUAUCUGAAGUAUCCCUGUAUGUUCUUACAACACAAACGUGCUUCGUGUAAAAGGUUUUAAGAUUUGUUUCAUGUUGAGAAUUUCCCCUGCCUAUCAAAAAAAAAGAAAAAGUAUCAUAAAAUUUUGUAAUUUUUAAAUUCCUUGUUAUAUCAUUGAUUAUUUUUUGAUUAUUUUAAUUCCUUUUGUAUGUAAAGCACGUUGAAUUACCAUUGUGUAUGAAAUGUGCUAUAUAAAUAAACUUUGCCUUACAUUAAUAAUUAAUUCAACAUAAUAUGCAUAACAUUUAACUCCUAUGGAAACUGUAAUGCUAAUAAAAUGCCAUAGAAUCAGAACAUAUAGAAAUACACACAUCGUAACAUCAUUAAGAGAAAUAACGCUGACUCCAUACGGUGCAGACUUCAAGACGAGAAGCUUUAUUUCCAAGAUGAUGCAUGGUAAGCUUUGAAUUUAAAUACAAUAUAGAGCAACAUAGUAACAGAUGCUUGUAUUGUAAAAUUAGUUGUAUAUUCUAUAGAGAGACUUAGAAGGACUGUAUUUAAGUUGUAUUGCUGGGUCUUAUUUUGUGUGGUGAUCACUCCCAGGUGUCGGUCAGGACACAGGAACCAGACCAAUUGCUGAAUUGAGGGUAUUUAAUGAACAGUUGAAGUAGGCAUAAAACAAUCUUUCAGUUGGCUUUAUAAUAUAUGUGUGUGUGUGGUUCUGAAAUUUAACAAAUAUAAGUAACAGCAUUAUGAAAUUAUGUGAUUGUUCAUUUAUCUGUGCGGCCUUUUUUACAGCGCUUGUCUAUAAUUUAAAAUAAUAGCUUACAUUUACAAAUAGCAGAAAUAAGCCUUUUUAAUGAAAGUAAAGUGAAAAUGCACAAUAGCACACAGAGUUUGCUGUUUUUAUCAGUUGACAUAACAUUUGGCCUUGAAAAGACCGUAUACAUAAAUGAUAAACUGAAGCAGGAGGCCUUGUGAUAACCUGUCCAUUUGUUUAUCCAAUCAAUUCUUUGAGUCUUUGAUCUAAAAUCAGUGAAUAUGCAUAACGAGUAUGAGUUUUUUUUAAAGUUUUUUUUUCUUACAUUUUAUUAAAUGUCAAAAUUUAAAUAUAUUUGCAAACACGUUUAUUUAAUAUUAAAUGUGAUCUAUUCAGUGAUCAACUGGAAUUUCACAACCAAACAUGUCUGUUGCAGCAACAAUAGCACAGUUAGCUGAGGUUAAACACAUUUUAUUCACGGCUGUAAAACAUUUUCUGUGGAGUUUUCCAUGAAAAUCUCUCAGGCUGCAUCCGAAACCGCCUACUUCUCUACUAUACAGUAGGGGGAAAGCAUAGGCAAGCAAAGAAGUAUGUCCGAAACCUCAGUAUUCAUAAAAGAGUAGUCGAGAAGUUCCCGGAUGUCCUACUGCUUUAGCCCAGAUUCUUGAGUGCUCAUCGAUGGAUACUUUUCAAUCCCAGAAGCCCACGGGAGAUCAAUACGUCAUCAUCGAAUGUGAUGAAGAACAGCGACGAGGCUGUUUACAAAUGUGAGUAUUACAAACCAAAAGCACGGUUUCCUGUGUUAAAAUCACAUUUGUUGAGCUACUGUAGAGUAAACUGUUGAUUUGCUUAAGGUGUAAAGACCCUAGACAGUAAUGUUACAGUAUAUUUGUGAUUUUGCUGUAAAAACAUGUCUCAUGUAUAGCGAACAGCAGAGCUCCAGUAAACACACACACGUCUCCAGAGUGCUUUACAUAAACCAUAUACAUCUUAAAGACGAUUACUAAAUGUCUAUUUAAUAUGAGACAGGAAAAUGUACUAAAAGAAUUACAGAUGAGCGCAUCACAACAUGAACACACAUCUGAGAGUGAUGUAUGUGUUAUUAUGUAGAAUACACUGAUGUCAACACUGCUUUAGAUGAAUGUAAUGUAAAUAUACAAGUCUACGUGGAGUAACUAAACAUAACUUAUCUGUUUUAUUUGUCCAUUAGUAUUGUAGAUAAACUGAGGAACAUUUGUGUUGAAUAAAAGUGAGUUAACGCAUCAGUAACUGCCUCAACAUGUAGAUGCAGUAUUGAUCAGAUAAAUCACAGAGCUGACUCUCGUCUGAUGUUACAGAAACACACGAGUGUUUAUCCGCUGAAGACUGACUGACGGAGGAAUGCUGCCAUCAAAGCCUCUCAGGACCCCAAUCCCCCCGCAGCAGCUCGGAGUAAAGACACCGGUGGUGACGACUGCGGAGAUCAAACCAGCAACCUUCUGCUGACCAGUUCAUUACACCGCAAAAGUAGUUGUUCUCAUAGAGAGCAGGCACACAGAUGUUUGGAGCAGACACAGCAGCAGCCAGAUUGUCCUGCACGCGUUCUUCUGCUCUUGUUCAAGAUUGUACUCUCAGACAAUGAUAGCCUCGAUGUCUCUUUCUCAUCCAUGAUCAGAUUCAGUCUGACUGCAGCAGUGAGGGAGGUGAUGGACAGCAGAGACAGGUGAAGGUGGACGCGGUGGUCAGCUGCUUCAUCAGAAUAAAGCUGCAGAACUGGACCAGCUGUGUUGAGAUGGCAGUAGGAUGUGGCCUCACCGUCUGUAAAUACAUGAUUGUUAGAACAAUAUGUUUGAAUAAAACUUUGUUUCAUGUGUUGUUGACUUGUGUUUAUUUAUUGUCAUGGUUACUUUUAUUUACAUUUUACUCAUUUGUUCAUGUUUCCUGUUGUUGUCAGUAAAUAAAAUAUAAUUGUUUCAUUAACACAUGCAUUAAUUCAUUACUUGUCUGAAAAUUGAGAUGUAUUCACUUUGGCUGGAUUUGUCUAGUGUGUGUAGUCAUGCAUAGCUAUGGCAUAUGAAAAAGCAAAUUACAUUUUGCUUGUUUUCCUGAAAAAAUAUAAUUAUUGGUCAUAAGUGUUGGGCUACCACUGCUUUCUGAGGUAAUAUUAAUUUCUAAGUAGUAAUACUCACAUUUUUCGAGUGUAAAAUCAACAGUCUUCUCCAGAGAUGAGAUCUUUUGAGCUGAUCGACGUCUCGUUUGUGCAGAUAUUACAAACAUGGAGGAAAACGUACUAGGUAGGGUUGUGGAUUUAUAGAUGC